AACCCAUGGUGAGCGCACUUUCUCAAUAGAUCCUUGUAUCUCUCUCAUGCAUCAUAGAGUGUUUCUAGAUCCAUCAAAAAGAAGAGAUAUCAUUCCUCAACUU
rnacentral:snoRNA from 1 species